rnacentral:rRNA from 1 species
CAGCUGAUGCAGCCAUGCCGCGUGUAUGAAGAAGGCCUUCGGGUUGUAAAGUACUUUCAGCGAGGAGGAAGGGGAUGUGGUUAAUAACCGCAUUCAUUGACGUUACUCGCAGAAGAAGCACCGGCUAACUCCGUGCCAGCAGCCGCGGUAAUACGGAGGGUGCAAGCGUUAAUCGGAAUUACUGGGCGUAAAGCGCACGCAGGCGGUCUGUCAAGUCGGAUGUGAAAUCCCCGGGCUCAACCUGGGAACUGCAUCCGAAACUGGCAGGCUAGAGUCUUGUAGAGGGGGGUAAAAUUCCAGGUGUAG